AUGGAGCCUACUGAUGAUGAUACAUUUGAGGUCUUUGAGGGGGAUGAUGGGGUUGAGAAUCAGGAGGAUGGGAUGACAAGUUCUGAGGAUGAGGUAAUGGACUGGACUAAGGUGCAGGAGAUCCAGGACAUCUGUAGAGAACCCACAAGUAGCGACACUUUUGAAGGUUGGCACAGUGAGGAUCCAGCUAGGUCUGGUGGGGCGUUGUCUGAUUCUAGCUCUGAGGAGGAAUUGAGGCAACAGACUGCAGCUACUAGCAGGGUGUUGGCUGAUUCUAGUUCUGAGGAUGAUUUGUGAAUAUAAAUGGGUUUGGGAAAUAGAUCACCUUUGCAGUCGGCAAAGUGUUGUUGGGUGUUCGUGUGUCCUUGUGAGCUGUUUGGGAAGACGUGCUGUAGGAAGACCUCUGUGAACGUAAAUUUAAUCUGGAUUAUCCAUGGCUGUGGGGGUUGGAACUGUAAGGGUUUUCUCUGGACUGCUUUGUGUUGUUCCUAUGCACUAGUUGCAGUGCUGCAUUCUACACUUUAGCUCUGUGUAUGACUUGUACUGGAUUUCAUAUUGCUGAUUUCUCCUUUUCUGACCUGGACUGGAUUUCGUAUUGCUGACUUCUCCUUCUCUGACCCAGAUUGGACUCAACGACGCCGACAUUGUGUUUGGGUGACUUCAACAGAAGUCUUCGGGCCCCUGCUGAUCGUCUAUUCCUGCCUGCUGAUGUCCUGCUGGGAAUUGGAGUGCUUUCUUUGUUGUUUUACAAAAUUUGUUUUUAAACUGGAUUAUACUCCGGUUUAAUCUGGGUUAUUUUCCAGGGUCUGGGGUUUUGUGUUGAUUGCUGGGAAUUCUGUGUUUCACACUGAAGAUUAAGUGUUCUGAGCCUUUUGAGUUUGUUUUUGGGCUCCUUUUGGUUGUGAACUAAUAAACUGUAUUUUUACUAACGUCUGGUCUGGCGCUUUAAGGAGUCUGUGUUGCAACAGUAUUUCUAUGGGAAGUGAGGGCCUGCUUUUGGCUGAUGAGAGAGUCAAGUGAAGUAGGAUUGCUGUUGUAUGCCUUCAAGUCAUGUCAAAUUUAGGGUGAUCCUAAGUCUCAGGUUUAAGGCAGGGGGCAGGUAAAGGAUCUGGCCUGCAGACCUUAGUUUCGGGACCCCUGCAAUAUAGCAUAACUUUGAUUCCUAAAGAAGAAAACUACACAUUUAUGAUGAAAAAUUGCAGAUAAGUUCAUUGUUGAAUAAUAAUUACCAGGUUUUUUUUUUUACAAUAUCACAUAAUAACAGAGAGAUAAUAAAAAUGUUUAAAUAUAUGGGGACAUUUGGACCAAAAUGACGACAAAGUGGCUACAUUGAUGUUUUUUGAUGCAGAAAAAGAUUCUGUACAUUUUAAUUGGAUUUUUCAUUUCAGAGCUUUAGAAGAGAUGAGAAUUGAAGAAAACUGUAUGACAUAGUUUACGUAGAGCUAUACUACCCAAAUAUAAUAAUUAAUGGAGACUUGUGCAACCCAUGUGAAAUACAAAAGGGAACUAGACAAGGAUGCCUAUUAUCCCCUUUGUUGCUUAUUUUAACUCUUGAAGUGUUGACAAACUAAAAACAUCUUAAGUAAGGUAUCAGGUUUAAAAAAUUGUAAACUAAGAACAUAUACAGAUGAAUUAGAGGGCAAGUACAGGGAAUGAGGAAAGAAUGGCAUGAAAGAACCAGUGGUAUCCCAGAGAUACUGGCUUCAGCAAGUCAGUAUCUCUGGGCUUCUUACAGUAUACAUACCUGUUAGAUUCUGGCUUCUUACAGCAUAUAUAUUUCUGGCUUCUUACAGCAUACAUACCUUGUU
ensembl:lncRNA